rnacentral:rRNA from 1 species
AGUCGAGCGGAAACGAGUUAUCUGAACCUUCGGGGAACGAUAACGGCGUCGAGCGGCGGACGGGUGAGUAAUGCCUGGGAAAUUGCCCUGAUGUGGGGGAUAACUAUUGGAAACGAUAGCUAAUACCGCAUAACGUCUACGGACCAAAGAGGGGGACCUUCGGGCCUCUCGCUUCAGGAUAUGCCCAGGUGGGAUUAGCUAGUUGGUGAGGUAAUGGCUCACCAAGGCGACGAUCCCUAGCUGGUCUGAGAGGAUGAUCAGCCACACUGGAACUGAGACACGGUCCAGACUCCUACGGGAGGCAGCAGUGGGGAAUAUUGCACAAUGGGCGCAAGCCUGAUGCAGCCAUGCCGCGUGUAUGAAGAAGGCCUUCGGGUUGUAAAGUACUUUCAGUCGUGAGGA